rnacentral:rRNA from 1 species
CUUUGGAGCCAUGUCACCCUGCAGCCCAAGACUGGUUACUCACUGAAGCUAAGCAGGGCUGAGCCUGGUCAGUACCUGGCUGGGAGACCACUAGGGAACACUAGGUUGCUUUUGGAA